GAUGAAGAACGCAGCGAAAUGCGAUACGUAAUGUGAAUUGCAGAAUUCAGUGAAUCAUCGGGUCUUUGAACGCACAUUGCGCCCCCUGGUAUUCCGGGGGGCAUGCCUGUCCGAGCGUCAUUGCUGCCCUCAAGCACGGCUUGUGUGUUGGGCCUCCGUCCUCCUCCCGGGGGACGGGCCCGAAAGGCAGCGGCGGCACCGCGUCCGGUCCUCGAGCGUAUGGGGCUUCGUCACCCGCUCUUGUAGGCCCGGCCGGCGCUUGCCGACACAUCAAUCUUUUUUCCAGGUUGACCUCGGAUCAGGUAGGGAUACCCGCUGAACUUAAGCAUAUCAAUAAGCGGAGGA
rnacentral:misc_RNA from 1 species